GAUCCUCUAUGCCGGUGUCUCCCUUUCCUCUCCAGCUCGCUCGGGACUCCGGCGUCUAAGUAGUGGCCCGGCAGGACGUGAAGGAUCAGGGACCCACUGGUGGCCUGGGACGGGACCAGACGGCAGCAGAGCUCAGGGAGCAGCUGAGCAGUUACGCUGGGAGCCUCCUGGCUGCUGGGAGCCCCAGGGUCACGUCCUGCAUCAGUCCUCACUGUCACCUCCGGCCAAGCACCCAGCAAGGAGCUGGUGGCACCACGAUGUCCCAGGCAGAAGGUACGACCGAGCCGCUGGUCUGCCCCAGGACAGACACAGCCACAGCCACACAUCUGGACCUCACUGCUGGUCUAACCUCCAACUUGUGCUGAUCUCCUGUCCUGACCCAUUUAAUCUUCUGGCCCUGUAGCCCCUUUGCUUGAACCUUUAGCUGCCUCAACCUUUCCGAAAGGCAUUUCUCACCACAAACCGCUGAAAUGCUGUGGGUGCAGGGCUGCUCCGGGGGCACGCGCCGCAGGAGCACCCCAUCCUUCAGUCUCAUUGCUC
rnacentral:lncRNA from 1 species